rnacentral:rRNA from 1 species
UACGUAGGGUGCGAGCGUUAAUCGGAAUUACUGGGCGUAAAGCGUGCGCAGGCGGUUUGCUAAGACCGAUGUGAAAUCCCCGGGCUUAACCUGGGAACUGCAUUGGUGACUGGCAGGCUAGAGUAUGGCAGAGGGGGGUAGAAUUCCACGUGUAGCAGUGAAAUGCGUAGAUAUGCGGAGGAACACCGAUGGCGAAGGCGAUCCCCUGGGCCUGUACUGACGCUCAUGCACGAAAGCGUGGGGAGCAAACAGG